rnacentral:sRNA from 1 species
AAAGCAGAAGCACCCGCUUCUCACCUGUAUGAUGCAUAUAUGUUGUCUUCAGGUAUGUAUUAUGAUCCAUAAUGAAAGUAUGUAUUUAUGGAAUAGAAUGCGGGCGUAAUGUGCCCGCAUUUUUUGCUU